AAAAGCUUUAUAAAUGGUAUGCUAACGUAGUUCAGACACUAACAUAUCUUGUUUUUUAUUUUUGGGUUCAGCCGUUUACUACCCUCAUGACGAGAUUGCAACUCUCGGAUAUCCUAAGUUUGGUGGAGCUUCCUUCUUCGAUUCAAAAUCUCAAUAAACUGAAGCAGUUGGACAUUAGAGACUGCAAAAAUCUGGAGACUCUUCCAACAGGCAUAAACCUCCAAUCACUCGAGUAUUUAAAUCUCUUUGGAUGUUCACGGUUGAGGAGUUUUCCUAAUAUCUCAGUAAACAUCAAAGGGCUGGAUCUAAGUUUUACAGCGAUUGAAGAGGUUCCUUGGUGGAUCGAGAAAUUAUCUAUGCUCAGAUAUCUAUUAAUGGCGAAAUGCAACAACUUACGGCGUGUAUCCCUGAACAUUUUAAAACUAAGACAUCUUCAGAAGGGUGACUUUGGGAACUGUAAGGCAUUGACUGAGGCUAGCUGGGAUGGUUGUCCAAGCGUUGUGGCGAUUACAACGGACAAUAUUCACUCUAGGCUUCAUGAUAAGGCUGGUUGUUCUAUCUCAAUGGCCCAGCUCGAUUUCAUCGGCUGCUUCAACUUUGAUCACAAAGUUCUAUUUCAACCACAAACAGUUCCCAUGCAAGUGAUACUAUCAGGCAAAGAAGUGCCUUCAUAUUUCACUCACCGUACUACCGGAACUUCUCUCACUAAUAUUCCUCUACAUCACAUCUCUCCCUCCCAACCAUUCAUCAGAUUCAAGGUUUGCGCCUUGUGCGAUGUUGGAUCUAUUAGCACAGAUGGGUUUAAUACGUUCGAAAUCCAGGUAUGUUUUCGGUUCAUAGACAUAUCCAGAAACUACUUUGAUCAUGUUGAUUUCCAACGAAGUUUCUCAUCGGAGUUGGGAGGACAUCUGUUUAUAAAAGACUGUUGUGUCCCUCUAAACAAAGACAUUACACCUCUAGCUCACGUGGAUAUACAAUUUCGUCUCAUUAAGGAAAACAGUGAGUUUAAAUUAAAAGGAUGUGGCAUACUGCUUCCCGAGAACAAUGAAUCGCUGGGUAGCCAACCUUGUAAUCCAAAUAUUCUUCAGCAUGUUGGUGGAGGAAACACAAGCAACGAUGCUUACAUGGGAGGCCAUGAGACUGAACAAAGCCAAGAGUGUGCACAUGUUUGUGAAGCUGAGGAAGACAAUGUUGUUAAUGAUGGAUGCCGUGAGACUGAGCAAAGUCAUGACAAAUUUGUAGGCAGCAAUGUAGAGGCUUUGAGAAACAUCAAACGAAUGUGGGUAAGAUUACUGGACAUCUUUUGCUUCGGAUUACGUGAAGAAACAUUGAAUCUUUGAUUGCAAAUCUUUGGAAACCUUUACCUUCAUCGGUGUUUUGCUGAUUCCAACACAACAAUAAGAUACGCCUGAGAAUUCUUCAGUUUCCCCUACUGGACAUGCAUUAUCAGGUAUCCUAUCUAAACUAAUAACUAUAAGAAGAUUCUGCCACCGAAAAAGGCGAUGGUUUCAACUGUUACGUUGACAUAAAACUGUCCUUCAAUUUCUUUUAGGAGAUGGCGAUCGAGUUCCAAUUAUACUUCAUGUAGCCUUUGCGUUCCACAAUCCAUGCUAAUGAAACAGAGAUGUAUUUAUGAACAUCAUCCUCUUAUUUCCUUAAUUGUUAUUUUGCUCUGCUCUAUCAAUAUUGACAUAUGAUGAAAAGUAAUUUAAGCAAGUUUCAAACUUUGACGUAUGAUGUGAAAGAGAGAUAUUUUGGGAAGGAAUGCAGGUACUAAGUUGAUCCUAAGACCACCAUUAUCGGGCGAUCCUUAGCAGGGUUUUUAGGUUAAUGAGUGAUUUAUUUAAAUAAAAAAAAAAAUUAAAGCCUUGUAACCGAUCCUUAAUUAGCCAUUUCUGAUAUCGAUCUUUCCAAAGGUUAUACAACCACGUGUCAUCAUUGAGGGAAGACGAAAACGUUGAUGACCGAUGGCAUUCUACAGAUCUCUACGAAAGCUAGCUGAAACCAAUCCCCUUAAAAAGGCCAGAUUAUUUUUCCAGCUUCCGGCGGUGGAGCCGUUUCUCCGAUCGCACCGUCGUUUCCGCCGCGCCGCUCCCACAUUACAUGCACAGAUUGCCUCCCCUUUCCUAAUGGUUCGUCCCUCUCCACGGACCUCUAUUCCUCUCUUCUCCACCCUGGAAACUGCUCCAGUCCGCGACGCCUCUUCACUGGCGAGGAAACGGCGCGUCUUGAGGAAGGUCAAGGCUCUGAGCGUUAGAUUGAUGUGGUUGUGGUGAUGAUGGUAGAGUUCGAGGAUGGAAAUGGAGAGACUUUGCCUAUUCUACAGAGAACCAUGUCAAGCCAUUGCUUGAAUUGACUAAUCCACAACACAAGGACUUUUGUUUUUCUAUGGAGUGCCUUUGGCUCACACCCUUUGAGCUCUCGACUGAAGCUCCUCCUCCUGUAUCAUCGUCAAGCAACCAGUACUUGUGACUCUCAUUGAGGUAUGUCUAACUCUGGGAACUCACAUCUUCCGCGAGGUAGCCUUGCUGGGCUCGAGCCGAUGAGUUUCAUUACCUUGGCAACACCUCGUCUAGGAGUGAGAGGUAGAAAGCAGGUUCUAUCCAUUUCCUGUUAUAAUAAUUGGAACUCAUCAAUUGUUUAGUAUGAUGUUAAAACAGUAGUUCUUUGGUCCCUCCCAUUUUGGAAUUAUGAGACUGAUCAUAGAAGAAAUUGUAGUGUCCACUCUAGCUCAA